rnacentral:miRNA from 2 species
UUGGAUUAGUUAUCAUCAAUGC